rnacentral:rRNA from 1 species
AGACAGCAGUCGCCGCGGUAAUACGAAGGGGGCUAGCGUUGCUCGGAAUCACUGGGCGUAAAGGGUGCGUAGGCGGGUCUUUAAGUCAGGGGUGAAAUCCUGGAGCUCAACUCCAGAACUGCCUUUGAUACUGAAGAUCUUGAGUUCGGGAGAGGUGAGUGGAACUGCGAGUGUAGAGGUGAAAUUCGUAGAUAUUCGCAAGAACACCAGUGGCGAAGGCGGCUCACUGGCCCGAUACUGACGCUGAGGCACGAAAGCGUGGGGAGCAAACAGGAUUAGAUACCCGGGUAGUCCCUGUCUCUUAUAC